rnacentral:pre_miRNA from 1 species
CUUACAGAGUUUAUUGGCAUUCUGUCCACCUCCAAUCUGCAGAAACUACAAGUUGUUUUACUUUCUGGAGGUGGGCAUACUGCCAACUGAGCUCUGUUGG